GAAAUGCGAUAAGUAAUGUGAAUUGCAGAAUUCAGUGAAUCAUCGAAUCUUUGAACGCACAUUGCGCCCGCCAGUAUUCUGGCGGGUAUGCCUGUUCGAGCGUCAUUACAACCCUCAGGCCCCCGGGCCUGGCGUUGGGGAUCGGCGGAAGCCCCCUGCGGGCACAACGCCGUCCCCCAAAUACAGUGGCGGUCCCGCCGCAGCUUCCAUUGCGUAGUAGCUAACACCUCGCAACUGGAGAGCGGCGCGGCCACGCCGUAAAACACCCAACUUCUGAAUGUUGACCUCGAAUCAGGUAGGAAUACCCGCUGAACUUAAGC
rnacentral:misc_RNA from 1 species